AAACAAGUCGUUACUAAUUAAAAACAAAAAGUCAUUUGUACAUCAAUGUCAUAAAAGUUUAGUCAAAUGGAUGUAUUAAGUGAGAAAAAUUAUUUCAGUGUUUUUGCAACUUGUCUUCUCUUGGAAACAGUAAUAAUAGUUUUCAGCACUUUGGUCCUUAAAUUUUUGUGGGAGAGCUUGUUUUUAGAAGAGGGAGGUACGACAAUGGAGAGUUUUUUAUUUCUCAUCGAACCAAAUAGAGCACAACGUUUGGAAAUUAGAAAAUGCAACAGCAAGGAAAUUAUUGAAGCUGAAGAACUAUAAUAAAAAAUUUAACAUUAAACCAUUCAAGUAUUA